UACGAAGGGGGCUAGCGUUGCUCGGAAUCACUGGGCGUAAAGCGCACGUAGGCGGAUUCUUAAGUCAGGGGUGAAAUCCUGGAGCUCAACUCCAGAACUGCCUUUGAUACUGGGAAUCUCGAGUCCGGGAGAGGUGAGUGGAACUGCGAGUGUAGAGGUGAAAUUCGUAGAUAUUCGCAAGAACACCAGUGGCGAAGGCGGCUCACUGGCCCGAUACUGACGCUGAUGCACGAAAGCGUGGGGAGCAAACAGG
rnacentral:rRNA from 1 species